AGUGAACGCUGGCGGCAGGCCUAAUACAUGCAAGUCGAACGGCAGCACAGCAGAGCUUGCUCUGUGGGUGGCGAGUGGCGGACGGGUGAGGAAUACAUGGGAAUCUGCCCAGUCGUGGGGGAUAACGUAGGGAAACUUACGCUAAUACCGCAUGCGCCCUUCGGGGGAAAGCCGGGGACCUUCGGGCCUGGCGCGAUUGGAUGAGCCCAUGUCGGAUUAGCUAGUUGGCGGGGUAAUGGCCCACCAAGGCGACGAUCCGUAGCUGGUCUGAGAGGAUGAUCAGCCACACUGGAACUGAGACACGGUCCAG
rnacentral:rRNA from 1 species